rnacentral:rRNA from 1 species
AUUGAACGCUGGCGGCAUGCCUUACACAUGCAAGUCGAACGGUAACAGGUCUUCGGAUGCUGACGAGUGGCGAACGGGUGAGUAAUACAUCGGAACGUGCCUAGUAGUGGGGGAUAAAUACUCGAAAGAGUGGCUAAUACCGCAUGAGAUCUGAGGAUGAAAGCGGGGGACCUCCGGGCCGCGGGCGAUUGGAGCGGCCGGUGGCAGAUGAGGUAGUUGGUGGGAUAAAAGCUUACCAAGCCGACGAUCUGGAGCUGGUCUGCGAGGACGACCAGCCACACUGGGACUGAGACACGGCCCAGACUCCUACGGGAGGCAGCAGUGGGGAAUAUUGGACAAUGGGGGCAACCCUGAUCCAGCCAUGCCGCGUGUGUGAAGAAGGCCUUCGGGUUGUAAAGCACUUUAGGUCGGGAGGAAGGUUCGCUGGCUAAUAUCCAGCGGAAUUGACGUUACCGACAGAAUAAGCACCGGCUAACUCCGUGCCAGCCGCCGCCGUAAGAC